UUGGUUCUUCAAAUUGAUUGCAAUUUCAGGAUUUGCAGGUGACUUUUAUGUAUAGUGAAUAAAAGUGGUUUGUUUUAAGAACUGGUCGAUUUGAUGUAUAUUUUUUGAGUGGCUUCCGACUGUUUGUAUUUUAAAUGCUUUGCUUUUUCUUGUUUGCUCUCACGCUGCUGGAAGCAGGCUUUCAAAUGACGGCAUUAUUCAUUUGUAAUGGACCCCACAAAAACCACUAUUGUUCGAAAUGGCUAAAACUGCUAUUACUACAAUGGAUGAUUUCGAAAUUUUAGUACUAAAAUAAUAACUGUCAUAAUAGCUAUAACGGCAUUAUAACAUUAAAUAAUGAAAAAUAAUGAUAUUAUAUUUAAAUAAUUUUUAUUUAAUAAAAUUAUUAGUUUUUGGAGUGUGUAGCUUAUUUUAGGAAAAAAUGGUACGAAAAUUUGAAUCAUGAGAAGAAAUAUAUUGUAUUUAGGGAAACGGUGACCAUCAUCUUUCCUUGUUAUAUAUAAACAUUGUUGUCAAACAUGUGUGUAUAAUCCGAUUGUUCUAGUGCUCUCUCUAUCUAUCUACCUAUAUACAUGUGUUCUCACUCUCUCACUUUAUAUGUUC
rnacentral:lncRNA from 1 species